AUGAAUGCUUGCAGAAGGAUACAUUCUCUCCGUGCUCACAGACAGAAAACUAAUGGAAACAAAAUUGAGAACUGGCAUAGCACCUCUGGGUUCAAGCACCAGCACGGAGAUGAUCUUGUUAUAGUCCACACCCUUUACACAGUGAUCAUCAUGAUCCUUCUAGUGGCACUCUGGGGAGCCUGGUCAAGAAAGGACUCAUCCUCAUAGCACCAAUAUAACAACUUCGUUUGUGAAAUAUUUAAAGAAGUAUUUGUGUCAAUUAUCCAUACUCAAGAGGCUCAAAAAAAUGGUCUCAGCAUAUUUCAGUUUACUUUAAACUGUUUAAAUGGUUGCUACUUGUGGAAAUGACUCUAUGAAGCAAUUUAACAAGCCAUUUACAGAACAUAAUUUUGUGAAUAACAGAGACUUGUUUGACCUGUACACAUUUUUAUUACUCUCAGCAUGUAUAUGAAACUUUAAGCAUGAUAUUCUAAAAAGAAGAGUUCAAUUUGUGUUUUAUUGGUCAAUGUUUUGUAUGUCCACCCCAGCUUUCCAUUUGUGAACUUGUCAAGUCUACCUCUGCUAAGUUUGCCUGUCCCAGUCCAUGGUAAAACAUAUACUAUAAGGAGGGAAAUAACCUGCCAUGUCACAACAACAUAGGAAAAAAUAAUGAACAAACCCAGCUAUUCUGCUGGCAAAGGAAGAUCACUGAAAAAGUCAAAUUCUCAUCUCCAUUGCUGAAGAGAGUUUAUAUGGGACUUGCAUCCGUUAUUUUUAAAUUAUGGUAAUGACUUCUUAAACUCAGGAAUAAAAUGAUGAAAUAAGCUGCUUUUGUGAAUCUUUUGUCACAGAACCAGAAGGCUCAGUCUUCAUCUUGUAUGUAUUUAUCUGCAACCACCACUUGUUUUUUCACAAUUCAUUAACAUCUCAUGGCAACACCAGCUUCUAAGUACACUAGCCCAUCACUGAUGGGGGUCAUUCUAUCAGUGCUUUAACACAGGAGCAGUGCUUUGUUGAUGCUCCCUAAAGAGCAGCACACAAAGGAAUACUUAAGAAAAGAUGAUUGGCACAUUAAAUACAUGGUCACAGAACAUGGGACCCAGUCUUAAAACAUGUAGCAUGAACAUUACAAGUGAACACAAAAGGGUGGGUCCUCCCUUGUAAAAAAUGUUUGAGGUACAUGAGAUGGGAAAGGGACCUACAUGUUCUGACAGUGGCACAAAACUCCCAGUGAUCAGGGUUGUGGGACAGGCAAUGGCCUCAGAAUUCUGGAAUUCAAACACAAAAUCCCAAAUGCACGCCACCAAGGGAAAAAAAAACUAGAAUAACUGAUCACACAUCAUGAUGUUGCAUUUAGUUGUUAAAUUUAUAAAUUCUGCAGGUAUAAUCCUUGCCUCUGAAGCACUGGAGGUCCAAAUAAGGAUUGAAAAUACUUAAUUUUCCUCUUUCACCUCGUGAUGGAGGAGAUGAGGUAUGAAAGUUCAGAAGAGACUGCUGCAGAACAUUAAAUGUUUCAAAAAGUGUAUUUUUUUCUUAAAUUUUUGCUUUCCUGGAAAACAGCCUUGGUUGAUUUAACAGUAACAUUAGCAAUCUAAAUUAAAUAAUUUUUAACAUGUUCCAGAAAGACAACUGUAUCUUUGCAGGGUGAACAAAACCUACUUUUAUUAUCAGUUUUUGUAAAUAACUCAUUUAAGUAAGAUAAUGCAACCAUGUCUAGGGAAACCUGUGGUCUUGCAGGGCAUAGUCUUUAAUGCAAACAGACCCAAAUCAUCUGCCUGACUGAACAACACUUUGGAGACUUCAGCUCCCAAAAUAAUUUCCUGUAAAUCCAUCCAUGAAAAACACCUCAUUUGGGUAAAUCACAAUUUAACUUAUGUCAAAGUAACAAGCUAUUUAAUGUCUCUACACCAAUGAAAUAGAUGGAGAAAUAGAAACUAGGAAUCCAAGUUUGGUUGGAACUUGUGUGUCAAAACUUUUAUGCAGCAAUCAUUAUAUUACUAUUUCUCCUGUAUUAACCAGACCGGACAGAUGUUUUAUAUGUGUUCAAAAAAGGCAGUGGUUUAAGUAAGUCUGUCUGCUGUUAUUUUAAACAAAAACAUUGUAGUUCUGCCAGUAAAUCUUGUGAUAUAUUCCAUGUACCAAUUGGACUGUCAGAAAAGAAAAACAAGUCUCUUAUUUUCCAUGGUCAUUCUCACAUGCUGAUGUGACACACUUUUGUUUUUAAAGACUCAAGUCCUUCCAAGCUCCAUUGCCUCACAUUUUCCUUUAGAGAGGAUGAUGCAUUCUGUAAAGCCAUCUUUAAUGCAAGAAGUUGGCACAGCCAUUUGUCCCUAACCUUGUAAUUCCCUUAGUGCUUCAUAACUAAAUUUGCCAUUGGUCUGGUUGGUAAGAAAAGGAUGGUAUUUGUACUACUGUGUUUUAACUAAGGGAAGACUUAACUGAAAUCAAAAUGCAAAACUGAAGCUGUUUCUGUAUUAAACACAGAAACACGGACAAAAACAGGUCUAUAUAUCAGUUCACUGGUCUGUUUACUGUAUGGGACAUUUCAACUUUCCUUCAAAAUGUAUGUGUAAGAAUGUGAGGCAUUCUCUUCCAAAGAUCUUUUAAGUACACAGAUCACAAUACCUCAGAAAACACCAGAAAAAAAAAUGCAGAUAGCUGUAGUUUUAUGCACAUCCCAGAAAAAUAAUACAGCAUAAAAAUAACAAACAGUGUGGACUUCUACCUAAUUAGGGCAGUAGUUUUACUUAAACAGGAUGCAUACAUGUGAUUAAAUGAUACACAUUCACAGCUGUUGCACCUCGUGACUAUUGGAAAUCAAU
ensembl:lncRNA